rnacentral:rRNA from 1 species
UACGUAGGGUGCAAGCGUUAAUCGGAAUUACUGGGCGUAAAGCGUGCGCAGGCGGUUUUGUAAGUCUGACGUGAAAUCCCCGGGCUCAACCUGGGAAUUGCGUUGGAGACUGCAAGGCUGGAGUGUGGCAGAGGGGGGUGGAAUUCCGCGUGUAGCAGUGAAAUGCGUAGAGAUGCGGAGGAACACCGAUGGCGAAGGCAGCCCCCUGGGCUAGCACUGACGCUCAGGCACGAAAGCGUGGGGAGCAAACAGG